rnacentral:lncRNA from 1 species
GCCUCUUUGAACAUCUAAAUUUACGACUGACUCUACAGAAGGGAGGCCUCCGCCGCCCUUAUAGCAGCAAUAUUCCCACCUCUUUUUUUUAUUAUUAUUCCUUAAAAGUGCUUAUCAAGAUGAAUGAGCAGAGCAGUGUGUAAUUUCAAAGAUGAAAUUGCUUUUCUCUCCAGAUUUCCCAUCGUGUUUUCAAGGUCACCAUAACAAGGAGUCGGCCGAAUGCCCGGCCUUCUCCGGGCUGUGUCAGGGUCCAUCACGCCUCAUGGGGAUGCAGGGUGGCUUUAGAAGUGUUCUGCUUUAUUUUUCCUCUCAAAAGAGGGUGUGAAAUUCCUGCUCAUUGACACACGGUUGGGUGAAAUUGAAGUGUUGAGGGGACCCCUGCCCUCUGUCCCCAGCACAAUCACCAAGGCCAAGACCACUCAGUGCCCCAAGUCCCAGGGAGGCCCAUCCUCUGUGUCAGCAAGGGAAGCCCGGGUCAUGUCCCAGCGACCAGCCGUAGACAGCAGCAGGGAUGCAGAGAUGAAUAACGUUAGAUUAGGCUCACAGUCAUACCCAAGGUGCGCGUACCUUUGGAAACGAUGCCAUGUGUCUAAUGAGUGUGGACACCACGCCG